rnacentral:rRNA from 1 species
UGGGGGAUAUUGCACAAUGGGCGAAAGCCUGAUGCAGCGACGCCGCGUGGGGGAUGAAGGCUUUCGGGUUGUAAACCUCUUUCGCUAUCGAACAAGGCCCGCUUAGGGUGGGUUGAGGGUAGGUGGAGAAGAAGCGCCGGCUAACUACGUGCCAGCAGCCGCGGUAAUACGUAGGGCGCGAGCGUUGUCCGGAAGUAUUGGGCGUAACGGGCUUGUAGGCGGCUUGUUGCGCCGGCUGUGAAAACGCGGGGCUUAACUUCGCGCGUGCAGUGGGUACGGGCCGGCUUGAGUGUGGUAGGGGUGACUGGAAUUCCAGGUGUAGCGGUGGAAUGCGCAGAUAUCUGGAGGAACACCGAUGGCGAAGGCAGGUCACUGGGCCAUUACUGACGCUGAGGAGCGAAAGCAUGGGUAGCGAACAGG